CCCUUAGAUGUCCUGGGCCGCACGCGCGCUACACUGACAUGUUCAACAAGCCUCCUAGUUCGACAGGAUUUGGGAAAUCUUUGAACGCAUGUCGUGAUAGGGAUAGAUCAUUGCAAUUAUUGAUCUUGAACGAGGAAUUCCUAGUAAACGCGAGUCAUCAGCUCGCAUUGAUUACGUCCCUGCCCUUUGUACACACCGCCCGUCGCUGCCCGGAACUGAGCCGUUUCGAGAAGACUGAGGAUUGCUGACUUGAGGCCUUCACGGGCUUCUAGUCGGUGAAAAUCAAUUUAAUCGCAGCGGCUUGAACCGGGCAAAAGUCGUAACA
rnacentral:rRNA from 1 species